rnacentral:rRNA from 1 species
UGGGGAAUAUUGCGCAAUGGGGGAAACCCUGACGCAGCGACGCCGCGUGCGGGAUGAAGGCCUUCGGGUUGUAAACCGCUUUUGAUUGGGAGCAAGUUUUCGGGUGAGUGUACCUUUCGAAUAAGCGCCGGCUAACUACGUGCCAGCAGCCGUGGUAAUACGUAGGGCGCAAGCGUUAUCCGGAAUUAUUGGGCGUAAAGAGCUUGUAGGCGGUUCGUCGCGUCUGGUGUGAAAGCCCAUCGCUUAACGGUGGGUUUGCGCCUGGUACGGGCGGGCUAGAGUGCAGUAGGGGAGACUGGAAUUCUCGGUGUAACGGUGGAAUGUGUAGAUAUCGGGAAGAACACCAAUGGCGAAGGCAGGUCUCUGGGCUGUUACUGACGCUGAGAAGCGAAAGCGUGGGGAGCGAACAGG